rnacentral:rRNA from 1 species
UACGUAGGGCGCAAGCGUUGUCCGGAAUUAUUGGGCGUAAAGAGCGCGUAGGCGGUUCGAUAAGUCGGCUGUGAAAGUCAGGGGCUCAACCCUUGAAAGCCGGCCGAUACUGUCGGACUAGAGUCCGGAAGAGGCGAGUGGAACUCCUGGUGUAGCGGUGAAAUGCGCAGAUAUCUGGGGGAAGGCCGGCGGCGAAGGCGCUUUUCUGGUUAGUACCUGACACUGAGGCACGAAAGCGUGGGGAGCAAACAGG